rnacentral:rRNA from 1 species
GUCUUUGAACGCAAGUUGCGCCCGAGGCGAGGCGACUCGGCCGAGGGCACGCCUGCCUGGGCGUCACGCCCCCGUUCGCUCCCUCGAGGCACGCCCUGCCUCUGGGAUGCGGAGAUUGGCCGCCCGUCGCGCGAAUCGAAGGCGAGCGGUUGGCCAAAAUGCAGGUCGAAGUGCGGUGCGGCACGACGCGUGUUGGUUCAGCCGCGCGGUGGAUCGCCGAACGGUCGCCGCGCCCGUGUCAUGCCGCUCGCGGUGCGACCCGUGGGACGCAGCUUGCCCGCCACGGCGGGCACUCGGACCGCGACCCCAGGUCAGGCGGGACCACCCGCUGAGUUUAAGCAUAUCAAUAAGCGGAGGAGAAGAAACUUACGAGGAUUCCCCUAGUAACGGCGAGCGAACCGGGAGCAGCCC